rnacentral:rRNA from 1 species
UACGGACCGGACAAACGUUAUUCGGAAUCACUGGGCUUAAAGAGUACGUAGGCGGCUCAGAAAGUUGGAUGUGAAAUCCCUCGGCUCAACCGAGGAAUUGCGUUCAAAACUACUGAGCUUGAGGAAGGUAGGGGUGAGCGGAACUGAUGGUGGAGCGGUGAAAUGCGUUGAUAUCAUCAGGAACACCAGUGGCGAAGGCGGCUCACUGGGCCUUUUCUGACGCUGAGGUACGAAAGCUAGGGUAGCGAACGGG